rnacentral:rRNA from 1 species
GACGAACGCUGGCGGCGUGCUUAACACAUGCAAGUCGAACGGUGAAGCGCCUUCCUUUUUGGUGGGUGUGGAUGAGUGGCGAACGGGUGAGUAACACGUGAGUAACCUGCCCCCUUCUUCUGGAUAACCGCAUGAAAGUGUGGCUAAUACGGGAUAUUCUGGGUCUGUCGCAUGAUGGGUCUGGGAAAGAUAUUGUUUCGGUGGGGGAUGGGCUCGCGGCCUAUCAGCUUGUUGGUGGGGUGAUGGCCUACCAAGGCGGUGGCGGGUAGCCGGCCUGAGAGGGUGGACGGUCACACUGGGACUGAGACACGGCCCAGACUCCUACGGGAGGCAGCAGUGGGGAAUAGUGCACAAUGGGGGCAAGCCUGAUGCAGCGACGCCGCGUGAGGGAUGGAGGCCUGCGGGUUGUGAACCUCUUUCGCCAGUGAAGCAGGCCUGCCUCGUUUGUGGGUGGGUUGACGGUAGCUGGAUAAGAAGCGCCGGCUAACUACGUG